UACUCCUACGGGAGGCAGCAGUGGGGAAUAUUGGACAAUGGGCGCAAGCCUGAUCCAGCCAUACCGCGUGGGUGAAGAAGGCCUUCGGGUUGUAAAGCCCUUUUGUUGGGAAAGAAAUCCAGCUGGUUAAUACCCGGUUGGGAUGACGGUACCCAAAGAAUAAGCACCGGCUAACUUCGUGCCAGCAGCCGCGGUAAUACGAAGGGUGCAAGCGUUACUCGGAAUUACUGGGCGUAAAGCGUGCGUAGGUGGUCGUUUAAGUCCGUUGUGAAAGCCCUGGGCUCAACCUGGGAACUGCAGUGGAUACUGGACGACUAGAGUGUGGUAGAGGGUAGCGGAAUUCCUGGUGUAGCAGUGAAAUGCGUAGAGAUCAGGAGGAACAUCCAUGGCGAAGGCAGCUACCUGGACCAACACUGACACUGAGGCACGAAAGCGUGGGGAGCAAACAGGAUUAGAUACCCUGGUAGUCCACGCCCUAAACGAUGCGAACUGGAUGUUGGGUGCAAUUUGGCACGCAGUAUCGAAGCUAACGCGUUAAGUUCGCCGCCUGGGGAGUACGGUCGCAAGACUGAAACUCAAAGGAAUUGACGA
rnacentral:rRNA from 1 species